ensembl:lncRNA
CUAACUCUAACUUCUCCUUUUUCAAAGUGUUGCCAAAGCCCAGAGAAGUUUUAUUUAAUUACUCUGAUGCAAGCACGAAGCAACUCCAGAAAAUACUUUGAUGUUACACCAGUUUGUACCAGCUAUAUUGAGAUGCAGAUCCAGCUUGAGGGGUGUAAAGAAAUAUGAGAUAAUAACAUAAAAUGACUAAAAAGGGUCUUGUCUGAAAACAUGAACAAUAAUUCUAUGACUGAAAGAAUUUGAACAUUAUAGCAACUUUAAGGGCUAUUAAGCCAGUUCCUAUGUGAAUCUGUAGUAUGAAUUGUAUAAGCAUUUGCAGUGUGUUGAUGAUAAAGGGAUUCAUAAAAGUUGUUAUGCUGAUUUUAUGUUGAUGGAUGUUAGAAUAUAAGGUGAAUUAUUAACCACAGGAAAGUGAGACUAAUGUUUAAGUGCUGUGAUAUAUGUGUAAUUGAAAGCAAUUUCUUUUAUGCAACAAGGAGACUGUGGGCAUAAGUGAAACAAACUUUGAAUAAAAUACAGGUAAAGUAGAAUCUGUUGGGUGUUCAGAGCUAGGAAACAAAGGAAAAAUAAACUUGCCUGAAAAACAAAUAUUACUACUAUAAAUAAUUUGCAUUUAUAUCAAAAUUUCUUUUCAGAAAAAGCCCAAAGCAAGUAACCCACUUGCUAAAGCAUUUAUAAAUAAUGUUGUAUACAUAUAAAUGCAUAUACAAUACCUUUUUCUAGGGAUCACAUAUUUCUUGCAGAAAUGUUUUCAGUCAUACAGAACUCUAAGAAGCCCAAUAUGAUUGCUCACCUCUUAAGAGGUGAAAAGUGAAGAAGUCAGAAAUCAGUGGCACAGAUUAGCUAAAAAGAGUUGGAUAAAUAUGGACUGUUUUUUGGAACCAGUAUGAAUUCUGGUGUUCACUGUUGUGCUGAAAGAAGUCACAAUCUAGCUGUAAAUGGCAUAGUAAAUACAGAGUAAUCACAAGAAGAAGAGGCAAGAGUCCUGCUUUCUAGUCUUCUUUGGAAGACAAGACUUCUAUGGAAGUUCUCAUGUCUCAUUUUCUAUCAUUUCAAGGUAGUGAUCCUACCACCUUGGUAAACCAUUUUACUGGAAUCAAUUCAUUUGAAGAUGCACUAGUUGGAAAGCUACAAAUAUUGAAGCAAUGCCUGUAUACAUUAUUUGAUGAUGGAAAACAAAUACAGGCUCUACUAGCUGUGGACAGAAGAACUAUUUCAGCCAGCUGAUGAACAGCAAUGGAAUUUUCAACCUGAUGAAUGAAUUAUGAUGCUGCAGCAAUAUUUUAAUCAGUAAGAAUUUGAAAUGACUGGCAUAAUCAUGUCUCAUGAGCACUAUAACUAUCGUGAAUUGCUGUGGAUAAAUACUUUGCAUAGUACUGUGUUCCAUACCAAAACACAUAUGACUAGUUUAAAUUUUGAACUUCUGUAAAAUCUAUUUCUAAACAUGAUGUUAAAGAAGUGUAUGAAGUUACAGUGAUUUAGCUAUGACUCUGACCUUAAAACUGCACACAUAAUGUUAAUAAUAAUGUACUUUUAUCUGAAGUUGAAAUAUCCUUGAUAUUGUAGUCAUUCUAUGCCACAAUUUACCUUGGAUGACUCUACUAAAAUUUAAGAUCCAAGUGCUUUUUCUUAAUCCUAGUAUAGGAAACUACUUUCUGCAAGAACACACAUCAAGAGAAUGUAGUGAGAAAAGCUCAAAUAAACUAUUAAUUUGAUGUAAUAGGAAAGAAGACAAAAAGGUAAGUCAUUUUAAAAAAGAAAACAAACAAUUUAUCAAGUAAUUCAGUAAUAUAGUGAGUGAUCUCUUUAUUCUACUUAGAAAAGAUUUAAAUCUGGGGCAUGAUUUUAAAGCUUAUUUGAAAUAAAAUGAUCCAAGAAGCAUGAAAACUUUUAAAAUAGGUUAAAUUGAUAGCUCAGGAUUAUAAGGCAGAGUCAAAUAGUAAUAAUUUCACCUAUGUUGUUCUAGGUUAUAUUUGCAAUCAGGUAGUAUAGGAUGCAAACUUAAUUAGAAUUUUUCUAGAAACCAAGGCACUAAUAUUAUUAUUAUAAUUUACCAAAACAAGAUUUUAGUAUAUAUUUUUUUCAACUGUUGUGAAUAAAAGAUUGCCAUUUUUGUCUCUGGCUUUUCUUUUUAUUCCUCCUUCUUCAAAUAUAUUCAG